rnacentral:lncRNA from 1 species
GGCGACGACGGCUCGGUGCUGGAAAGGGACGCAGUGAAGCUGGCCUCGGCUCGGAUAUGACUAAUGCCUAUUUGAUCGAGGUUUAUUUGCUGCUUAGUAAUUGCACGGGCUUCGGAUGAAUCGUUGGCUUCUACCUUCUCAUCACUCCUUUCACUGAUUUCCAUGUCUUACUUGUAAGGGUUUCCAAACAGCAUCAUCAGGACUGCUCAUUGUCCGAUACUGAUCGUCUACGGCUGCUCCAGGCCGGACUUUCUUGUCGGGUGACC